rnacentral:rRNA from 1 species
GAUGAACGCUGGCGGCGUGCCUAAUACAUGCAAGUCGAGCGAACAGACGAGGAGCUUGCUCCUCUGACGUUAGCGGCGGACGGGUGAGUAACACGUGGAUAACCUACCUAUAAGACUGGGAUAACUUCGGGAAACCGGAGCUAAUACCGGAUAAUAUAUUGAACCGCAUGGUUCAAUAGUGAAAGACGGUUUUGCUGUCACUUAUAGAUGGAUCCGCGCCGCAUUAGCUAGUUGGUAAGGUAACGGCUUACCAAGGCAACGAUGCGUAGCCGACCUGAGAGGGUGAUCCGCCACACUGGAACGGAGACACGGUCCAGACUCCUACGGGAGGCAGCAGUAGGGAAUCUUGCGCAAUGGGCGAAAGCUUGACGGAGCAACGCCGCGUGAGUGAUGAAGGUCUUCGGAUCGUAAAACUCUGUUAUUAGGGAAGAACAAAUGUGUAAGUAACUAUGCACGUCUUGACGGUACCUAAUCAGAAAGCCACGGCUAACUACGUG